rfam:Schistosoma mansoni strain Puerto Rico chromosome 6, complete genome
AUCCAGCUGACGAGUCCCAAAUAGGACGUGGCGCGCGUCCUGGAU